UGAAGACUGAUCUUUUGUCUAAUGGUGUAAAAUAUCUAAUGGUAUUAGAAUAUUUGGUAAGCUAACAAUAUGAAAAGUUAAAUUUGAUGGAUGUGGAAGACUACCAAAAGGUUUGCAUUAGCCAUUAAUUGCUGGUAUUUGAUAUUUCCCAAUUGUCAUAUCUACUGAGGGGGAUGCAUGGCCUUAAUGCCGUACAAGGACUGAAGACUGAAGAUUGUUCUAAUUCAAAUUGAAAAUGGCAGGGGGAUAUUGGUUUUCAUGGAAGAUCGUUCUGUCGAAGAAAAAUGGAUUCCUUUAGCUUAAAACAUCUUUUCCUGGUGAGAUAUCAGAGUUUUAAUUUGACUAAAUCCAUGAUGUCAAAGCAACAAAGAAAGACAUUGAAUCAGCCAUGAAAUUAGCUUAGUUGCUUGUUUGAGAUCCCUUGUUUGAAUCAGUCUUUCUCAUAGGGCAUGCAUGGCUCUCUUAAAACUAGCUGCUGAUUUUGGUAGAGAAUCUAUGUUGUCAUUGCAACAGUUUUUUUCCUCACAACAUGCACCUGAGAUAUCUACUGACUCAUGAAGACAUGAUAAAACCCUAAGGUUAUUAUUAUUAUGCUUAAGCUUUAGAAAUUCCUUGGUAGCUGUAUAAGGUGGGAUAUGGAGAAAAAAAUUAACAUUAAGUUAUGUCUUUCUUCUUGCAUGCAUGCUCUACAAUGUUAUUUGUUUUGCUUUUACUUGCAUGGAUAAUGUUAAAGAUGUAUAACUUGGGAUUUCAUUGUUGCCAUGCUUUUGAGUACUCAGUUGAUGAGUGUUCCUCGAUGAAAAUUUGGAAUUACAGCCUAUCAACAUAUGCAAAGAGUAUAAAAUUGUACUACUUAUGAUCCAGUUACUUCUUGAUGAAUGCAUGUUUAAUAAUUUGAUCUCCAAUUUAAGUUCAGUUGCAAAGAUGUGUGGUGUCAUUACAGCUGUGGUAUAAGGUUUCCUUUGCACUUUAUAGGGUAAAAUCAAUGAAAUUUAUGGGCAAGAGGCAUCUAGAAUAACGACACCACACUUUUUAAUCGGAAGUGUUUAAGGUAUGAUUGGAAUUAGUUUGGUUUACUCAGGUCAAACAGGGAACUUUUAAUUCAUUGUUGUGAAAUCUGAUAAGUCAAUUUACAUAGAUCCAAAUCCCUUAGAUUGUUCUUAUAUAUAGUUUUCACAAUAAUCAUAGCUAAGCAUAGAUCCCUGUGAAACUUUCAUACCUAAUUUACCAAUUAUAAUUUGGCAAGGGAUGUUGAAUGUUAAGCACAUCUCUCUCUCUUCCAAUGGAUUUGUCACAUUUCUUCCGCACAAUCUAUACCUUUUAUCUUUGUUCUAUAGUUGUGGUGGCACUACAUUAUUUUUUAAAGAUGACAGCUCUGUUUUUUAUCUGAAGAAAAUUUGAGAACUGUUAUAAUAAUAUUGUAAGUCAUUGCAUCUUAUAUGCUAAAAGUUCCCCAAAAAAAGAAGUAUCAUAAAAUAUUGAACAUAUUUAGGUGAACAAUCAGUAGUUAAAUUACAUUUUCUAUGCAUAAAUUGGUUCUUUAAACAAUGGCAUUUCAUAUAGAUAUCCCAUUGGUUUUGGAAAAUAUCAGUAGUUUAGUCUUUUUACAAGUAAUAUUAUCUACUAGUUCUGGUCCAGGGGACUUUACCAGAGUCCUUUUUUAUCGAAAUUAUCAUCUCAUCAGCUAUGUUCAGCUUUGCUUUUGUUGAGGCUAAUAUUUUGGCAAGACCCACCCUUUUGGUAAACUUUUUAUUAGAAAUUUCUUAAUUUUCUAGCUGUUGACAAGAAAUAAAUUAUGAUGAAAUUGUUAUUAAUCCAUUGUUUGAUAUCCCGAUUUCUUAAUUUUAACUAAUAAUGAAUUGCCCAUCUUGCAAUUAAUCCUGACACACUAGACAUGACUUUGUCCAGAUCUUUUGCUCUUAAGAAUGCAGGACUAAGCCAUAUCACAUUCAUUUGAUGCUGCUUUCCCAUGGAUAGGAGCCUGGCCCUACUAUCUUAUUGUUCUUGCUGUAUGGUUUUUCCAGACUCCUUUGUCAAUGUUUUCUAUUCGUUUUAAAACUAUCAAGCUACAAUUAUGAAUACUUAGAACAUAGCAACAUGUACUUGUGAAUAUUGGUACUGCUAGAAUCACCAUAUCAGUUCUACCAAUAUAGAACACUUUAGAGCUUAGUAUCUUAUGAGCAUAAAUGACAGCAUGGGUAUUUGCUAGUGUUGCCUGUUAGUGAUGGUGAAUCUUGCCGUCAGUUGACUCCAUAGGUGGUCAUGACAGUGAAUUUGAAAAAAAUGAGUACUAUUGAACCUUGUGUAUAUAGGCACAAAUUUUAAGAUCACACCAAGUGAUUUGCAAGUUAGUAUUUCCUUUUUUUCUUAUUUUGGGUGUACGUAAUAUUUAAUAUGGGAGUUAUUGUCAUGGAGUGCUUUUGCUCUUGAGUCUACACUUUAAAUGUGUGAUUCUGUUGUUGCUAUAUAAAUGCAUUGUACAUCUCGUAAUUAGUCGCAUCAUUGUUUCCUAUAAGUUUCCUUUGCAUGCAAAAGAAAUUAAACCCCUACAAAUGGUCUGUGGUUGUAGAUUUGCUUUUUUGUUGCAUAUUGACAGAAGUGUGGCAUGAGUAAGGUCAAUGAGCUCUCACUCAACUGGCAUCCUUCUCCCCCUUGCAAGUGCUUGGUAGACAGUGCGUUCAAGACCCAUUGAGUGUGUGUAACGUACAACUAAAGAAAAUAGUGUGGCACUGGCAUUUCCUUUAUAAUACUUGGUGGUGGCAGUGUACAAAUUUGUAAGAAAGGCAGACAUCUAAAUUUCACUGAAAAAUUGUUGAUUAUUUUGGCAUGGUGGAGUAAUUUUUAAAUAGACCAGUUGAUUUACUUUCCUUUAAUAAGUUAGGCCCUAAUUACUUAUA